GGAGGCCUCCGUAUUGGCCCCGGUUACGGAAGCCGGGAGGGCAGAACGUGUACUCUUUCUGAAAGAAGUUACCCCCUGAUAGCCAGGUGGAGGUGGAGGAGCUAGGUAUCUUGGUCCCGAUGGCGACUGUGGAAGCUAGCGGCAGCGGCGAGAAAGGGCAGGGGGAGGAGACUUCCGUCACCUAUUACCGGUUGGAAGAGGUGGCGAAGCGCAACUCCUCGGAGGAAAUAUGGCUGGUGAUUCAUGGGCGAGUCUACGAUGUCUCCAGCUUCCUCAACGAGCAUCCUGGUGGAGAAGAAGUUCUGCUGGAACAAGCUGGUUUGGAUGCAAGUGAAAGCUUUGAAGAUGUAGGCCAUUCCUCCGAUGCCAGAGAAAUGCUGAAGGAGUACUAUAUUGGUGAUGUCCAUCCGAGUGACAUUAAAACUGAAAGUGGUAGCAAGUCUUGGGGCUUUAGAAGCUGUCUUUCCCCAGCCCUCAUCAACAGGAAGAAAGUUAGGACUCUGGUGACAGCUCAAGAACCAUGCACACUGACAAGAUAAAUCUGGGAGGAUUCUCACCCAACAUAUUCUUCAGGGGAAGGAAUUUCACUGACUACUACUAGAAUUUCUUUACAACUGCUUUGUGAUUGAUUCUGUUAUCAAGGAUCUCUCUGACCUCCUCCUCUUUGAAGUUCCUGGGGCUGGUGCCCUUUCAGAUUCAUCUCGCUGCUAAUUAGAAGUCAGUGGAUUGGCUUUAGCAGGCCGAUGGUGAUGCACAGGCUUGGCUGGCAUUGAAACUAUUUUGUAGAAUUCGUAUUUCAUCAGUCCUGAAGGCUGAAGGGCCAAUGUGUUGCACGUGGGCCUCCUCUGGGCCUUGAUCAGAUCUGUUUCUUCUAAGGCAGCGGAGUGCACACCUGCCUCCUACCGAUCCAGUGGAACGAGAAUCAGUGUGUGCACCUUGACACCUGAGACAAGAGGCGGCAGCAGCAAGGGGAUUCCUUGCCUUGGACUGGCUCAAAGAUAUUUGGCUAACUCUGUGGUUCUGAGAUGUUCACUUGGGUGUUGCAAUCAGGCCACCUCUGAGCUGGAGGGACUGGGAGAUUUUUCUGACUUUUGGCCCAGGGCCCAACUUGCAGAAGGACAUAUUCAAUCUUAGGAGACAAGGGGAUCGGCAGUACCACUCCCCAGCCUGAGACCUCAUGGAGGAGCUGUUACAAGACGUCCUUGAGACCAGAGGUGAUCAAAGUCAAGAUCAACAGUGAUAAAUCAUGUUGAUAGUGUGUAUCUUUGAUAGACUAUGAUAAAAAGGUGCUUUACCUCUGUGAUCAUCCUCACCCAAACCCAUAACCUCAGUCUCAUCGUGAGAAAGACAUCAGGCAAAUCCCAGAAGAGGGGCACCCUCAAUGGACCUGACCAGAACUCCUCAAAACUGUCAAGGUCAUCAAAAGUGAAGAAAGUCUGCAGAACUGCCACAGCCAAGAGGAGCCUCAGAAGACAUGAUCAAUGCAAUGCGGGUGUCCUGAAAUGGUGAAAGAGCACCAGAGAAACAAAGGAAUCUGAACAAAUCAUGAACUUUAGCUAAUAAUAAUGUAUUAUAUAAUUGUUGCAUUAAUUAUAAUAAACAUGCUAUACUAAUGUAAAAUGUUAAUAAUAGGGGACACUGGGCCUGGGGUAUGUGGGCAUUCUUUGUACUAUCUUCGCAAUUUUACUGUAAAUCUAAAACGGAUCUAAAAAUUAAAGUCUAUUAAAUUUUUUUCUUUACUUAUAGAUCUGUAAUAGUAUUUUACUGUUGUUUUAAUUUGCAUUUCCCUUAUUACUGCUGAGGUUAAGCAUCUUCUCAUGUGUUUAUUGGCCAUUCAAGUUUCUCUUUGGUGAAUUUCUUGUUCAUAACAUUUGCCUAUUUAAAAAAGUUGGGUUGUCUAUUUUGAAAAAAAAAGAUUUGUUGGAAUAAGUAUAUAUGUGGUAUACUAAUCUUUUGUUGGGUAAAUGAAUAACUUGUUACAAGUUACAAAUAACUUGUCCUUUGGCAAUUUCUAUCUUAUAUUUUGUCACACAGAUAUUUUGUUAUUUUAAUGUAGUCAAAUAGUUUUCUUUGUGCUUUGUACUUUUAGCCUUGUUUAUGAAGUCUCUCCCUAUUCUGAUGUCUUAAAGAAAUUCUACAUUUGUAAAUUUCUCCUUAAAAGUCUUACAUGUCUUUUGUAUAUUUAUUCAUAGGUAUCUCACAGUUUUUGUUGCUCUUGUAAUUACAUUUUUAAAAUCUUUAACAAUAGUAUUGAUUUUUGAAUAUUGUCUUUAUCUGCAAGUUGCUGAACUAUUUUAAUCUUUUGCUUGUCUUCCUAUGUAAAUAAUAAUUUCAACUGCAAAUGACAAAGAUUUUUCUCUCUUAUUUUCCAAUUCUUUUUCCUCUUAUUUAUUUAUUUUUUAUUAUUGUACGGGCUAGGACCUAUAAGACAAUGUUUAAUAGUAACAGAGUAAAGAAUCCUUGCCUUGUUUCUCAUUUUAAUGAAAUGCUUCUAAACUUUCACCAUUAACUAUAAUAUUUGCUGUAGAUUCGCUGCAGGUUUUUGGCAGAUAGUUGUCUCCCAUUAUCUAUUUAUCCCUCUUACAAUAAUAGAAUCUCAGAUUUUUAACAGGCUGUAUAGCUGCCUGAAAUAAAUACUUUACUCAGCCUCCCUUGCAGUUAGUAGAUGUGGCUGUUUCUCCAAGCUUUGGCCAACAAGAUAUAAUUAGAAGUGGUACAUGUCCUUAAAAAGAGGAGGCAUGCCCUUCCUUUCCCCUUUUCUCCUCCUUUUUGUUGGCUGGCAUAUAUUCUUGAUAGUUGAGGUAGAACAGCCAUCUUGAACCACAAAAUGGAACGAUAGCAGGAAAGCAAAAUAGAAGGAGUUUGGGUUUUUGAUGCCUUUGGAGCUGCCAUACUUAGCCUGGGAUUGCCCACGUUCUCAUAAGUGAGAAAUAAAUUCUUAUUUUUUUGAACCACUGUUAUUUUGUGUGGUUUUUUUGUCAUUUGCAGCUAACCUUAUCUUAAUUAAACCUUUAUUAGGUUGAAGAAGUUCCCUUUUAUUGUUAGUUUGCUUAGAAUUUUGUUUUUAAUCAUGACUGAGUAAUCAAUAUUGCACUAUUUUUUUCCUUCUUGAUUAAGAUAAUCAUAAUUUUUUAAAUGUUUUACAGUGUUCUUUCCUCCUCACCUAUAACAUUUAUUUGUCUUGUAGUUUGUUUCUAACCAGGAUAAGAUGAUAGAUUUUAUAGUUUCAAAAUAUAGAUUAGAAUGAUAAACGCUGGGAAAAUUAUCUGCCGAAUUAGAAAUAUUUUGAAAGUUGAGUGAGAAAAACUGAUUGAGGGAGACAAAACUCUCAAUUUGGGAUGAAUUUCUUUAAAUUGAUUUGCCCAUGUUAAUUAUAAACUUCAAAGAAACAAAGGGGAAAAAUAAGGCAAAGAGGGAAACCAAUUUAUUAUUCGUACAUUAAAAAUUUAGUUGAAAUCUAUUACGACUAAUAAAGUUUUGAAAAGGAAACUAUCUGCCAAUGGAAUGCAACAAUUUGUAUUUUUGCCCACUAUCUUUUGGUCCUUGUUCAUAUACUCUUGUUUCUACACACUUAUGAUCAGAGUAUAUAUAUGCUUUUUGCAUUUUGAAGAGUUACUUAUUUUUAAAGUUAAAUUUAAAAAUUUAAAUUUAAAGUUUAAAAAUUUAAAGUUAAACUUCAAAUUUCCAUGUGAGAACAGAUUAAACUACUGAACACAACAAAAACAAGUGCUAGAAUGAGAGUCCCCUUACAGAGUUAUAGAAUAAAGUUCUAUAGAACUUUAUCGAGUUAUAGAGUUAUAGAAUAAAGAACGUUUAGAACUGGAGAGAGUUUGUUAAUUCCACCUUUGAAGACUGAUUUAAGUACUUGUUUCUAUUUGAUAAUUAUUUGAUAAUAGAUUUGGUAGAAUGAUCUCAAAUCAUAAAAUUCUUAAAUUUUGGAUUGCAUUUCUGCAAUCUUUGUAAUAAACUCAAUUCUAGUAAAGCCCGAUUUUUUUUUCAAUACUUCAUCAAUUACAAUAACAGCUACUAGUAAUGUUUAUGUUACAAUAUUACACUUUCCAAAGCAAAGCACUUUCUCACAACUUAGCUCAUUUUCUCCCUAUGAAAACCCUGUGAAUGACAAAGGUACCAUUUUGCAGAGGAGGAGACUAAAGCUUCAGAGUAAUUAAGAGAUUUAUGUAUUUGUAAGUGACAGAGCAGAGAUAAAAUGAAUAAAAUAAGGAAUAAAGAAAAUAAAAUUCAAAUAAAAAUCUGCUUUUUUGAGCUCCAUCAAACCAGAUAAUGCCAGCCUUUCCUGUUUAGAAUAGAAAAUUCAUUAAUGUGCUAAACUUUCUCAGUUACAAAUUUUUUUUUUCUUAAAUGGAUAUCUCAUGCUUGUCUAUACUAGAUGCUGAAAUAGGAUGGUAUCUGAUUUAGCAUGAAGUUAUAUGUUUCGUGAUUUUAAGUUUUCCUAUCAGCCUUUCUGCAGAGUUCUGAGAGAGCUUGAAUUUCCAGGUGUUGUGCCAUGGGAAUAUAUUUUUAUACCAUUGCACUAGGUUAUGCUGAGUAAGCCCUGGGCCCUGCAAGCCAUUUCAUGUUGCAAAAUGAUAGUAAAGGGUUAUUGUGGGAAUGCUUCACUCUCUCCCUUUUCAUACAUUGUUUCUGUUUCCUGCUCAUCAAAGUAAACCUUACUGAAGAGGGUAUCCAAAGGAAAUAAUGAAGAAAAGGCUAUAAGCAUAGAUUUAGAUACAAGGAUGUUCAUCUCAGUUUUAUUUACAAAGAUUUUCAAAAGAAAUAAACUAAAUGCCAAAAGUAAGGGAUUGGCUAAAUAAAUUAAGAUAUAAUGGAAUACUCCUCUGCCAUUACACAUUAUUAGGAACAUUUAUUGGUGCAGACUGUUGCUCACUGUUACAUCAAGAAAGCAGGGUAAUAGUACAUAAAAUAUAACCAAUUUGUAGUAUUUAGUACCAAUAUACUUAGAAACAUUCCAGAAAGAUAUUUACUAAAUGACCGUGUCUGUGUGGUGGUUUGCAGAUUUUUGAAUAAUUCUUAUUUAUUAAUUCAUUUAUAUUUUCAGCUCUUAUUUUUAGUUUUUACAAUGAUCACAUAUUGCUUUUACAGUAUAAAAACCCCAUGUAACUUGGUUUUGAUUAAAGAAAAAAACAGUCCUUUAUAAAGCAUUGUUAAGCAUGUUACUUGCUGCUUUCUGUCAAUUUGGGGAGCAAAGGAAGAGGAAAUGGUUGUGUAUGGAAUUUGAUUUAGACAUAUGCAGAAUUUCCUGAAGGUAAGACCUGUGAUCUGUUAAAAUAGGAGGGGGCCUAGGUGAAACAAUUAGGUG